UACGGGGGGAGCAAGCGUUGUUCGGAUUUACUGGGCGUAAAGGGCGCGUAGGCGGCGCAACAAGUCACUUGUGAAAUCUCCGGGCUUAACUCGGAGCGGCCAAGUGAUACUGUCGUGCUAGAGUGCGGAAGGGGCUACUGGAAUUCUCGGUGUAGCGGUGAAAUGCGUAGAUAUCAAGAGGAACACCUGCGGCGAAGGCGGGUUGCUGGGCUGACACUGACGCUGAGGCGCGAAAGCUAGGGGAGCGAACGGG
rnacentral:rRNA from 1 species